UACGUAGGGUGCAGGCGUUAAUCGGAAUUACUGGGCGUAAAGCGUGCGCAGGCGGUUUGCUAAGACAGGUGUGAAAGCCCCGAGCUUAACUUGGGAAUUGCGCUUGUGACUGGCGUGCUGGAGUGUGGCAGAGGGAGGUGGAAUUCCACGUGUAGCAGUGAAAUGCGUAGAGAUGUGGAGGAACACCGAUGGCGAAGGCAGCCUCCUGGGCCAGCACUGACGCUCAUGCACGAAAGCGUGGGGAGCAAACAGG
rnacentral:rRNA from 1 species